rnacentral:rRNA from 1 species
UACGUAGGGGGCAAGCGUUGUCCGGAUUCAUUGGGCGUAAAGAGCGUGUAGGCGGCCAGGUAGGUCGGUUGUGAAAACUGGAGGCUCAACCUUCAGAGGUCGACCGAAACCAUCUGGCUAGAGUCCGGGAGAGGAGAGUGGAAUUCCUGGUGUAGCGGUGAAAUGCGUAGAGAUGUGGAGGAACACCAGUGGCGAAGGCGACUCUUUGGCCUGUAACUGACGCUGAGGCGCGAAAGCGUGGGGAGCAAACAGGG